CCCUUUCCCCCCUUUCCCUUUUUUUUGAGUGGGGUAUCAGCAGCUGAGCGAAAGAUAGGAGCUUUCUCUUUACGUAGCGGGGAGGGGGGGUGCACGUGGGUACCUCCAUAGACUGGAAAAAUAAGGGAAACCGGGGCUAAUGCCGGAUAACAUUUAGAACCGCAUGGUUCUAAAGUGAAAGAUGGUUUUGCUUAUUCACUUAUAGAUGGACCCGCGCCGUAUUAGCUAGUUGGUAAGGUAACGGCUUACCAAGGCAACGAUACGUAGCCGACCUGAGAGGGUGAUCGGCCACACUGGAACUGAGACACGGUCCAGACUCCUACGGGAGGCAGCAGUAGGGAAUCUUCCGCAAUGGGCGAAAGCCUGACGGAGCAACGCCGCGUGAGUGAUGAAGGUCUUCGGAUCGUAAAACUCUGUUAUUAGGGAAGAACAAAUGUGUAAGUAACUGUGCACGUCUUGACGGUACCUAAUCAGAAAGCCACGGCUAACUACGUGCCAGCAGCCGCGGUAAUACGUAGGUGGCAAGCGUUAUCCGGAAUUAUUGGGCGUAAAGCGCGCGUAGGCGGUUUCUUAAGUCUGAUGUGAAAGCCCACGGCUCAACCGUGGAGGGUCAUUGGAAACUGGGAAACUUGAGUGCAGAAGAGGAAAGUGGAAUUCCAUGUGUAGCGGUGAAAUGCGCAGAGAUAUGGAGGAACACCAGUGGCGAAGGCGACUUUCUGGUCUGUAACUGACGCUGAUGUGCGAAAAGCGUGGGGAUCAAACAGGAUUAGAUACCCUGGGUAGUCCCACGCCGUAAACGAUGAGGUGCUAAGUGUUAGGGGGGUUUUCCCGCCCCCUUAGUGCCUGCCAGCCUAAACCGCAAUUU
rnacentral:rRNA from 1 species